rnacentral:rRNA from 1 species
AUUGAACGCUGGCGGCAGGCCUAACACAUGCAAGUCGAGCGAGCGGCGGACGGGUGAGUAAUGUCUGGGAAACUGCCUGAUGGAGAGGGAUAACUACUGGAAACGGUAGCUAAUACCGCAUCCCAUUAGAUGUGCCCCGAUGGGAUUAGCUAGGGGGUGGGGUAACGGCUCACCAAGGCGACGAUCCCUAGCUGGUCUGAGAGGAUGACCAGCCACACUGGAACUGAGACACGGUCCAGACUCCUACGGGAGGCAGCAGUGGGGAAUAUUGCACAAUGGGCGAAAGCCUGAUGCAGCCAUGCCGCGUGUGUGAAGAAGGUCUUCGGGUUGUAAAGCACUUUCAGUGGGGAGGCGUUACCAGCAGAAGAAGCACCGGCUAACUCCGUGCCAGCAGCCGCGGUAAUUC